rnacentral:piRNA from 1 species
UUCAAACGAUUAAAGCGUUUA